CCUACGGGAGGCAGCAGUGGGGAAUAUUGGACAAUGGGCGAAAGCCUGAUCCAGCCAUGCCGCGUGUGUGAAGAAGGCCUUCGGGUUGUAAAGCACUUUCAGUGGGGAAGAAAGCCUUAAGGCUAAUACCCUCGAUGAAGGACAUCACCCACAGAAGAAGCACCGGCUAACUCCGUGCCAGCAGCCGCGGUAAUACGGAGGGUGCGAGCGUUAAUCGGAAUUACUGGGCGUAAAGCGCGCGUAGGCGGUCUGAUAAGCCGGUUGUGAAAGCCCCGGGCUCAACCUGGGAACGGCAUCCGGAACGGUCAGGCUAGAGGGCAGGAGAGGGAGGUAGAAUUCCCGGUGUAGCGGUGAAAUGCGUAGAGAUCGGGAGGAAUACCAGUGGCGAAGGCGGCCUUCUGGACUGACACUGACGCUGAGGUGCGAAAGCGUGGGUAGCAAACAGGAUUAGAUACCCGGGUAGUC
rnacentral:rRNA from 1 species